AGAGUUUGAUCAUGGCUCAGAUUGAACGCUGGCGGCAUGCCUUACACAUGCAAGUCGAACGGCAGCACGGGGGGCAACCCCUGGUGGCGAGUGGCGAACGGGUGAGUAAUACAUCGGAACGUACCCUGUAGCGGGGGAUAACCUCUCGAAAGAGAGGCUAAUACCGCAUACGACCUACGGGUGAAAGCGGAGGACCGCAAGGCUUCGCACUAUAGGAGCGGCCGAUGUCGGAUUAGCUAGUUGGCGGGGUAAAAGCCCACCAAGGCGACGAUCCGUAGCUGGUCUGAGAGGACGACCAGCCACACUGGAACUGAGACACGGCCCAGACUCCUACGGGAGGCAGCAGUGGGGAAUUUUGGACAAUGGGCGCAAGCCUGAUCCAGCCAUGCCGCGUGAGUGAAGAAGGCCUUCGGGUUGUAAAGCUCUUUCGGCGGGGACGAAACGGUCCGUGCUAAUACCACGGACUAAUGACGGUACCCGCAGAAGAAGCACCGGCUAACUACGUGCCAGCAGCCGCGGUAAUACGUAGGGUGCAGGCGUUAAUCGGAAUUACUGGGCGUAAAGCGUGCGUAGGCGGUUUGUUAAGACAGGUGUGAAAUCCCCGGGCUUAACCUGGGAACUGCGCUUGUUACUGGCAGACUUGAGUGUGGCAGAGGGGGGUGGAAUUCCAGGUGUAGCAGUGAAAUGCGUAGAUAUCUGGAGGAACACCGAUGGCGAAGGCAGCCCCCUGGGCUAACACUGACGCUGAUGCACGAAAGCGUGGGGAGCAAACAGGAUUAGAUACCCUGGUAGUCCACGCCCUAAACUAUGUCAACUGGUUGUCGGGGAAGAAAUUCCUUGGUAACGAGCCUACGCGUGAAGUUGACCGCCUGGGGAGUACUGCCCGCAAGGUUAAAACUCAAAGGAAUUGACGG
rnacentral:rRNA from 1 species